CAGAAGAGAGCUGCUCACUGAGGAAGUUCAUGUCUACAAGCUCAACUUCUGGACUCUGAAGGAGAUCAAGAGGAGAAACACCACAGCUCCACCUGCUGGAAGACGAGAGAUGACAUUUAUCUUGUAAAACAGGACGAGCAUUUAAAAUGACGUUAACAUCGUUUAAAGAAGGAAAAAAAAAGUUUGUCUUUCACUAGAAGUCUUUAACAGAUCCACAGCUGAGGGGGACAAUCUGUCCACAGGACGACUAGCAGCGUGUCCUCCACAUAUCUGUCCUUUAUGGAAGAGCAAGAAGAAAGAACUGUUGCAAAUAUUGCUGUUCAGUAUUCGCAGUGUGCUGAUAUUUCUUUGUUCCUGAUUUCUUGCAGAGCGACUCUCACACACACAAACACACACACAAUAAUACACAAUGAGGGAGAUUCACAUCUGCAUUGUGAUGGAUGCACCACUGUGGUCACACGUCCUUCAGCCUUUAACCCUCAUUACAGGACGAGCAUUUUAAAGAAGGAAAAGGGAAGUUUGUCUUCCUCCAGAAGUCUAAACUUUAACAGA